CCUACGGGGGGCAGCAGUCGAGAAUCAUUCACAAUGGGGGAAACCCUGAUGGUGCGACGCCGCGUGGGGGAAUGAAGGUCUUCGGAUUGUAAACCCCUGUCAUGUGGGAGCAAAUUAAAAAGAUAGUACCACAAGAGGAAGAGACGGCUAACUCUGUGCCAGCAGCCGCGGUAAUACAGAGGUCUCAAGCGUUGUUCGGAAUCACUGGGCGUAAAGCGUGCGUAGGCGGUUUCGUAAGUCGUGUGUGAAAGGCGCGGGCUCAACCCGCGGACGGCACAUGAUACUGCGAGACUAGAGUAAGGGAGGGGGAAGCGGAAUGCUCGGUGUAGCAGUGAAAUGCGUAGAUAUCGGGAGGAACACUCGUGGCGAAGGCGGGUUCCUGGACAUUAACUGACGCUGAGGCACGAAGGCCAGGGGAGCGAAAGGGAUUAGAUACCCCAGUAGUC
rnacentral:rRNA from 1 species